GGGGCCAUAGCUCAGCUGGAAGAGCGACUGCUUUGCACGCAGUAGGUCGUCGGUUCGAUUCCGUCUGGCUCCACCA
rnacentral:tRNA from 1 species